CUGUUCUCCAUCAUGGUGCAGGACCAAAGUGAAAAGGAGAACCCCAUGUGGGAACUUUGCAUUCGCAAGCUCUGCCUCAACAUCUGUGUAGGGGAGAGUGGAGACAGACUGAUGUGGGCAGCUAAGAUUUUGGAGCAGCUCACAGGCCAGACUCCUGUGUUUUCCAAAGCUAGAUACACUGUCAGAUUCUUUGGCAUCAGGAGAUAUGAAAAGAAAUCCUGGAGAAAGGGCUGAAGGUGCGGGAGUAUGAAUUAAGAAAAAAUAACUUCUCAGAUAUUGGAAACUUUGGUUUGGGGAUCCAGGAACACAUUGAUCUGGGUAUCAAAUAUGACCCAAGCAUUGAUAUCUAUGGCCUGGACUUCUAUGUGGUGCUGGGUAGGCCAGGUUUCAUCAUUGCUGACAAGAAGCGCAGAACAGGCUGCAUUAGGGUCAAACACAGAAUCAGCAAAGAGGAAGCCAUGCGUUGGUUCCAGCAGAAGUAUGAUGGGAUCAUCCUUCCUGGCAAAUCAAUUCCUGUUUCUAUCCAAAAGGCCAAUAAAAAGUUUUCAGUGAAAGGUUAA